rnacentral:rRNA from 1 species
AUUGAACGCUGGCGGCAUGCCUUACACAUGCAAGUCGAACGGCAGCAUGGGUGCUUGCACCUGAUGGCGAGUGGCGAACGGGUGAGUAAAGCAUCGGAACGUACCCGGAAGUGGGGGAUAACGUAGCGAAAGUUACGCUAAUACCGCAUAUUCUGUGAGCAGGAAAGCAGGGGCUCGUAAGACCUUGCGCUUUCGGAGCGGCCGAUGUCGGAUUAGCUAGUUGGUGAGGUAAAGGCUCACCAAGGCGACGAUCCGUAGCGGGUCUGAGAGGAUGAUCCGCCACACUGGGACUGAGACACGGCCCAGACUCCUACGGGAGGCAGCAGUGGGGAAUUUUGGACAAUGGGCGGAAGCCUGAUCCAGCCAUGCCGCGUGAGUGAAGAAGGCCUUCGGGUUGUAAAGCUCUUUUGUCAGGGAAGAAAUAGCUUGGGUUAAUACCCUGGGCGGAUGACGGUACCUGAAGAAUAAGCACCGGCUAACUACGUGCCAGCCGCCGCUGUAA